rnacentral:lncRNA from 1 species
CUUUUUUUUGUAGUGAGUCCAAAAUAAUGGCAAAAGUGUUUGGAAAAGUAGAUACGAUGGAGACAUAUCACCUUCCUAGUGAAGAUGCCGCUACCCAUCUAAACAUCUUCGUUGAUUUAUGUGAUAUGCAAAAGAAGAAAGAUGUGGAUAAUGAUAUUGUUAAAUUGAAGCUAUUUCCGUUUUCACUUAGAGAUCGUGCUAAAACUUGGUUCUCUUCACAUGGUUUGGAUUCGGCCGUGGAUUCGGCCGUGGAUAAUUGCCCUACACAUGGUUUGAAUUUAUGGAUGAUUAUACAUAAUUGUUAUGUUGGAUUGGAUUUUGCUUCUAGAAAUCUUUUAGAUUCGGCCGUGGGAGGCACUUUUAUGGAAAUCACUUUAGGAGAAGCUACUAAACUCCUAUAUGAUGUUAUGGUUAAUUAUUCUCAAUGGCACACCGAAAGAUCUACUAGUAAAAAGGUUCAUGCGAUAGAAAAGAUUAAUGUUUUGAGUGGAAAGAUGGAUGAACUUAGGAAGUUAGUUGCUAAUAAGAGUGUUUCUUCUGAUCCUAAUGAUAUGCCUUUGUCCACUUUGAUUGAGAAUAAUAAUGAAUCUAUGGAUGUGAAUUUUGUUGGUAGGAACAAUUUUGGUAACAACGCUUAUAGAGGAAACUUUAAUUCUAGGUCGUUCCCUAGUAAUUCCUCUAAUAAUUAUGGUAAUUCCUACAACAACUCUUAUGGAAAUUUUAAUAAGAUGCCCUCUGAUUUUGAGACUAUUGUUAAAUAAUUUAUGAGUUUACAAAAGAAUUUCAAUGCUUUCAUUGAAGAAAAAUAGCUUAAGAUUGAUGAGUUGGCUAGGAACAUGGAUAUAAUUUCUGUUGAUGUUGAUUCUUUGAAACUUAGAUCUAUUCCACCUAAGCAUGAUAUCAAUGAGUCUCUCAAAGCCAUGAGAAUUUCCAUUGAUGAGUGCAAAGAAAGAACCGCUAGGAUGCGUGCUAAGAAAGAUUGCUUUGUGAAACCGUGUUCUUCUAGUUUUCAUGAUAAUAAAGAUGAAGAUCUAAAAGUGAUAGAUGUGUCUCCUAUUAAAUAUUUGUUUGCCAAUAUGAAUCUUCUUAAAGAUGGGACUGGAGAUGAGUCAACUUUAGUUAAAAGGCGUCCCAAUGAUUCGGAGUUUUUAGAUCUUGAUGCAAAAAUUGGUAAAAGUGGGAUUGAAGAUGUCAAAACUUUACAUAGAAAUGAACCCACUAUUUUGGAUUUCAAGGAAUUUAAUUAUGAUAAUUGCUCUUUGAUAGAUUGUAUUUCCUUGUUGCAACCCGUGCUAAAUUCUCCUCAUGCUUAUGACCAAAAUAAGGCCUUUACUAAACAUAUUGUUGAUGCUUUAAUGCAAUCUUAUGAAGAAAAGCAUGAACUAGAAGUUUCUAUCGCUAGAAAACUUUAUGAUGAGUGGGAACCUACUAUUAAAAUUAAUAUUGAAGAUCAUGAAUGCUAUGAUUUAUGUGAUUUGGGUGCUAGUGUUUCCAAAAUUCCAAAAACUUUGUGUGAUAUGUUAGGUUUCCGUGAAUUUGACGAUUGUUGUUUAAAUUUGCAUCUUGCGGAUUCCACCAAUAAGAAACCUAUGGGAAGGAUUAAUGAUGUUAUUAUUGUUGCAAAUUGGAAUUAUGUGCCCGUAGAUUUCAUUGUUCUUGAUAUAGAUUGCAAUCCUGCAUGUCCUAUUAUUCUUGGUAGACCUUUCCUAAGAAUGUAACAUCCCAAAGUUUCAGUUUGGAAUGUUAUACACUAGAUCAUCAUUGCAUAUCAUAUUUUAUUGCAUUUUGGCUGAUCCUAGAAAAUUCUACGCAACUCAAGGACCCAUCGGAGAGAGUUGGGGAUUUCGUUAUUUUCAUAUUUGAGUUUUCUCAAAUUUUGAAAAUAGGAUCAUUUGAUUUUAUUUAUUUUAUCUUCAAUUAUUUCUAUUACAAAAAUAUGAGAGAGGGAAUAAAAUGACUUUCCCAAAUAAAGAAAUAUUGAGGAUUUAAUAAAAAAUCAAAUAAUAUUCUAUUUUGGUUUAUUUGCUAUUUUAUUUGAAUUUAGGAAAAAUGCGCGUUUUUCAAAAUUGCAUUUAGGCCCCAAAUAAAUGUUCAUCUUGUGCGGCUUGAUUUUAGAAGCCGGGGAAAUUUUGUUUUGGGAUUUUUGGAGUCCAUUUAGUUUUCCUUUUGUUUUUUUUCUGAGCGUAACUAUUUUUAAAAACAAAUACAACCGACCUAACGGGUCGUGUCUGACCCGGACACUUGGCCCGGCCGGCUUUAUAAGCUGGGGAGGCCCAGCCGNNNNNNNNNNNNNNNNNNNNNNNNNNNNNNNNNNNNNNNNNNNNNNNNNNNNNNNNNNNNNNNNNNNNNNNNNNNNNNNNNNNNNNNNNNNNNNNNNNNNNNNNNNNNNNNNNNNNNNNNNNNNNNNNNNNNNNNNNNNNNNNNNNNNNNNNNNNNNNNNNNNNNNNNNNNNNNNNNNNNNNNNNNNNNNNNNNNNNNNNNNNNNNNNNNNNNNNNNNNNNNNNNNNNNNNNNNNNNNNNNNNNNNNNNNNNNNNNNNNNNNNNNNNNNNNNNNNNNNNNNNNNNNNNNNNNNNNNNNNNNNNNNNNNNNNNNNNNNNNNNNNNNNNNNNNNNNNNNNNNNNNNNNNNNNNNNNNNNNNNNNNNNNNNNNNNNNNNNNNNNNNNNNNNNNNNNNNNNNNNNNNNNNNNNNNNNNNNNNNNNNNNNNNNNNNNNNNNNNNNNNNNNNNNNNNNNNNNNNNNNNNNNNNNNNNNNNNNNNNNNNNNNNNNNNNNNNNNNNNNNNNNNNNNNNNNNNNNNNNNNNNNNNNNNNNNNNNNNNNNNNNNNNNNNNNNNNNNNNNNNNNNNNNNCCCGCGCCGACCCCGCCGGACCGCCGCCCCGCCGCUCGCCGGAGGUAGACCUCGCCGCUCUCGGUUUUUCUCGAAAAAACGAUCGGUUUUCCGUCGGUUUUGUUCGGUUUUUUUAGUUUCGUUUUUUUAAUAGAUCGGUUUUCCGGUCCGCCCGCCGCUCGCCGGAGGUAGACCUCGCCGCUCUCGGUUUUUCUCGAAAAACCGAUCGGUUUUCCGUCGGUUUUGUUCAGUUUUUUUAGUUUCGUUUUUUUAAUAGAUCGGUUUUCCGGUUUAUUUAUUUAGCGAGCGUUCGCUCGGCCGUUCGUUUUAACGAACGCGUUCAUCGUUUAGAUCCAGUUAACGAACGUCCGUUCAUUAAUCUGUUCGUUGUUUUCUUUUUCUCGGAUUAAAUCCACAAUUUUUUGAUCGCGAUUCCUGAUCCGUUUUUCGUUCUAGUAUAACUUUUCGCUCGUUUAUCGGAAUCAGGCGAUUCAAGCGCUUGGAGUUUCGUCUCGAAACCCUCUUUCUGGUUAACCAACUCAAACAAGUUUUUGCAUCUGUAAAAAAUUGCCCUAGAUCCAAAAUAGUAAAUGAAGCAUGUUUCUUUUUCCGUUUGUCUUUCGUUGCUUCGUUCGAUUUGAUUCUUUUGCCAACCAGAGUUCUUAAGUUGAACUUUCUGGUUAGAUCUCUUAUUUGAGUUUUACCUGUGCAUUAGUUGAGUACUUAUUGUAUGCUUGUUUGUUUGCGAUAGAGUACCCGGAGUGCGCUGCUUGCUACUUCGAAUCGCUAGGUUUCCCGGAUCAUCAGCAAGGCAAGUAACACUUUGAUCAUACCUCCUACUACCCAGUUUUAUUGCAUUAGAUCAAUCCUCACACAUUGCAUGAUUAGGAUCUAGUUAAAUUGUGGGUUUGGGAAGUAGUUGAGGUAGUACCUAUUACCUGUUUAUUAUCAAACCUUUGGGAGUUACUUCUACGUUGCUUAUUAUGCUAUGCUAUGCUAGUAGACGUGGAUCGGGUGAGUGUGUCCAUGACAGAUGUGAGAUUGUUAAAUUAAUGGUUUAUCUAAGGUGGCAACUUAAAUACACAUCUAGGUGGAUUGAGGCACCUGGGUAUUCCAGCGAUUGCAUGUUUUCUUUUGGACCGCCACCCAGGCUCAAAGGGAUCAUGAGAUUAUUCAUGCUAGAAACUUUCGUGUGCAGCCACAAGCUACUAUGGGCUCUAGCAUGGUUGAUUAAGUCAUGCGAACUCUUACAGUGGUAGACUAGCAGAUCUAGGGGAAAGUAGGUGUAACGGUCUAUCCGAUCAUAAGGUGCUAGCGCUUCUGAAAGACUAUGUCUCGGUCACCCGUUUCUCAAACACCAUGUAGUGCGAGAAAUCAAACGGAGGCGAUUGAGUCUUGUGGGGAAAAGUGCGCAAACCUCUGCAGAGUGUAUAAACUAAUCAUGGUUAGUCGUGUCCCCGGUUAUGGACAACUUGAGUAUCUAGUACCUGGAUUAUCAUGUCAAUCUCAUCAUGUUACUCUAAAAUUAAUUUUGUUGGGUUUUAUUUAAUGAUGAUGCUUAAAUGGGAUUGAGAAUGCUGUCAACCAUUCUCAAUAUUUAACAACUACCAUGAUAGUUAAAUAAAAUUUAUUCCUUUACAGUAGGGAAAAAUUGGCUUUACGCAAAACUGUAACCAUAGAGCUUUCCACCAGCCAAAUAUGCAUGUAGUAUAGCCUUAUCCUUGCAUUGCUCUCUAUGUGUUACAUUGUCAGCAUAUUCCAUGUGCUGGCCCGUUUCGGGCUGCAACGUUCAUCUUGCAGACUUUUCAGACGACGAUUAAGGUGUUUUUAGGUCGUGGUUCUGUACUCAGUGAUGUCGUUGGAGUUGAUGGACUCACUUAUCUUCCAAGCCUUCCGUUGUUAUUGUUAUUAGAUGGCCUUAAGUAAUAUUUAUUGUAAUAAGCUCUCUUUUGAGACACUCGAUGUAAUAAGUGUGUGAUUGCUAUUCUAUUAUAAAUCCUUUAAGUACUGUGUGGUGUCAGCAUUACUGAUCCAGGGAUGACACCGGAGCACAGAGAUUGGACCGUUUGAGGUCUGGUCCCUACAAGAUGGUAUCAGAGCACACGCUGACUGUAGGACACGACCACUAAGCUAAAGCCCUAGAUCACUACUCACUCUCUUCUCAUUCUAACUCCUCAUCUUUUCUACUCUUUUAGGAUGGCGGAUGCAAGGAACAAGUUCACGCAACCGGAUGAAGAUACACCCUUUGGCCGUCACUUGAAGGAAGUCAGUAGAUACCUGAACAUAGCAGUACUAAGCUUCAGCGGAACCUACAACGCCACUUUACCUGAAGAAGAGCGCUGGAUGAUUCAAGUUCAAGUUCCAGGAAGGACGUUCAUGCCAGUCACUAAGCCCAUAGAGUUCUAUUUUGAUGCACCAACUUGGAAUCUAGGAAAGAGCAUGGCAGCUCACAUCACCAUGGGACGCAUUGGAGAAGUUUACCGCAAUGAUCUCAAGGAUACUAUCUACCAGAUUUGUAGGCACCGAGAUGAGCACUGGGAGAUGAUCAGCACCAGGAAAGAUAGAUCAAUUGCAGCUUUUAUCCAAGAGUUAAACCAGCACAUUCGACAUCAGGAGAACCAGAUGUGCGCCAACAUGAUAGAUCUGAAGAAGGCAAAGAUUAGAAUCAAGGAACUGGAGGAAGAACUCAAGGCUACACGUGAAGAUUAUGAAGAAGAAAUCAAAGUAUUAGUGGAGAAGAAUGACGAUCUGAUCAAGAGGAUUGGAAUAUUUAUGGGAGGCCCUACACCAGUAGAAGAAGACGAAGAACCCAAGGAGAUACGCCCGGAAGACUACAUCAUCAUCGACGACACCGACUCAGAUCCGGAUGAUAGCGAUGAUGACUAUGUUGAUGAAGCUGGAGCAGAUAUCAUGGAGUCUGCAACCGAAGAAUAUUUCUAGUAGACCACCUCAUCAGUAGUAGUAGUCCACCAUGUAAAUAUAGUAGUUCGAGCACUUUUGCGAUAGAUAGAUCGAUUGUAUGCCCUUGUUUGAUUGAUUGAAUGAAGUGAAUUGUUUGCUUUUGCCUCAUGUGCAUAUGGGUAGUGUUUUCUCUCUAGACCCCUCUCUAUUCUUAAAUCUCAUCCUUUCUAAAACCCUCAGAUGCCUCCGAGACGUGACCCCGGAUUUACCUUUCCACCGGAGCUCACCCAGUUGAUCCAGCAGCAGAACACAUUGAUGCAGUUGCUAGUCCAGAAUCAGAAUCAGAGAAACAACAACAACAACAACCCACCACCACCACCUGUUGAUCACUUAGCCCGUUUUCUUAGGCUGAAUCCGCCGGUGUUUUCCAGUAGCACCGAGCCGAUAGUAGCAGAUGAUUGGCUCUGCAAGACAGCAAGGGAGUUGACCACCGCGGGAUGCACAGAUGCGGAAAAGGUGAAGUUUGCCGCACAUCAGCUUGAAGGACCCGCAGCAUCAUGGUGGGAGAAUUUCACAGUCACUUUCCUUGUCGACACUGUCACGUGGGACCAGUUUCAGCAGGCUUUCCGUACUGCCCAUGUUUCAGCAGGAGCUAUGGCCAUGAAGAAGCGUGAGUUUCGGAACUUGUGCCAAGGAGGAAGGACAGUUGGCCAGUAUGUCGAGGACUUUAGUAAGUUAGCUUGUUAUGCCCCAGAUGAUGUAGCUACGGAUGCAGCUAAGCAGGAGAAGUUUCUGGAAGGACUGAAUGAUGAGUUGAGCAUGCAGUUGAUGGUAGCAACCUUCAACAACUACCAGGAGUUGGCAGAUCGUGCUCUUAUGAUUGAAGGGAAGCAGCAGCAGAUUGAGAAUCACAAGAGGAAGUAUGGACAAGGGAAGUAUAAUUCAGGAGAUCAGCAGAAACCAUGUUUUACCCCUAGCCGGGAGGACAUUUUCAGCAUACCCAUGGAGGAGGUAGCUCGCACAAUCACAAUGGCACCAAGAAUGGUAAUGGGAAUGGAGGAAACAACGACCAGAACCGCACGAACCCAUCAACCCCAGCCAAGAGAGACCUGAGCCAAGUCACUUGCUUUAAGUGCCAGAAGACCGAACAUUAUGCCAAUGAAUGUCUUGAAUCCCAUAAUGGAAAUGGCAAUGGAAGCUCUGGGAAGAAGCCGAACCCUGUCAACAGGGGACCGGUGAACCACGUUAACAUGGAGGAGGUUGAAGAGCAGCCGGAUGCAGUAAUCGGUAAGUUUUUGGUUAAGUCAUUUACUGCACUCAUUCUUUUCGAUACUGGUGCAUCGCAUUCAUACAUAUCAAGGGGAUUUGUGGAUAAGUAUAACCUUCCCACCAAAGUUCUUAGAACACCUAUGUUAGUAAGCUCACCAGGAGCGGAGUAUAUGGCUAGCCAGGGAUGUUUUCAAGUGCCAUUGAGUAUAGGUAGGCAUGUGUUUCCCUCGGAUUUUAUCAUUUUGGAAUCACAAGGUUUGGAUGUAAUUCUGGGUAUGGAUUGGUUGUCGAUGUAUGGAGGAAACAUCGAUUGCACCAGUAAGUUGAUUUUGCUUACCACCCCAGAAGGGAUAAGGAUCAAGUAUGUAUCCCGGCAUGUGCCGAAGAGGACUCAAGUAAAUUGUCUAACAGGAGUUGUGCAGGAGGAAGUACCAGUAGUGAAGGAUUUCCCUGAUGUAUUUCCAGAAGAGUUGCCAGGCAUGCCACCAGAUAGAGAUAUUGAGUUUUUGAUUGAGCUUUUGCCAGGCACAGGACCAAUAUCUAAAAGACCAUAUAGGAUGCCCGCAAAGGAUUUGGUGGAGAUUCAGAAGCAGAUUAAGGAGUUACUGGAUAAAGGAUAUAUUCACCCAAGUUCUUUGCCUUGGGGAUCGCCAGUACUUCUAGUGGAGAAGAAGGAUGGAUCAUUAAGGAUGGUUGUUGAUUAUCGAGGAUUGAAUGAAGUAACCAUCAAGAACAAGUACCCACUACCGAUGAUCAAUGAUCUGUUUGAUCGAUUGCAAGGAGCAAAGGUAUUUUCCAAGAUCGAUCUGCGAUCAGGAUACCACCAGUUGAAGAUUCGAGAAUGGGAUAUACCUAAGACGGCUUUUACCACCAGGUAUGGGUUGUACAAGUAUACCAUUAUGUCAUUUGGUCUGACUAACACACCUGCAUAUUUUAUGAACAUGAUGAACAAAGUGUUUAUGGAGUUUUUGGAUAAGUUCGUCGUAGUGUUCAUCGAUGAUAUCCUGGUUUACUCGAAGAAUGAAGAGGAGCAUAAGGAGCAUUUGCGUUUGGUACUUGGUAAGCUCUAAGAACAUCAGUUAUAUGCCAAGUUUAGCAAAUGUGAGUUUUGGUUGAAGGAAGUUGGAUUUCUCGAGCACGUUAUAUCCGGAGAAGGUAUAGCAGUAGAUCCCACUAAGGUUGACACUGUGACAAAUUGGGAAGCCCCAACAACAGUUGGAGAAAUCCAGAGUUUUCUUGGACUCACAGGAUACUACCAGUGGUUCAUUGAAAAUUUCUCAAAGAUUGAGAAGCCUAUGACGGAGUUGUUGAAGAAGGAUACCAAGUUCAUAUGGACUGAGGAAUGUGAGGCCAGUUUCUAGGAGCUGAAGAAACGUUUGGUUACAUCACCGGUGUUGAUUUUGCCAGAUAAGACCAAGGAUUAUGAGGUGUAUUGUGAAGCUUCACGUCGAGGACUUGGAGCAGUGCUUAUGCAGGAAGGAAGAGUUGUUUCAUAUGCCUCACGACAGCUUAAGCCUCAUGAGUUGAAUUAUGCCACACAUGAUUUGGAGUUAGCAGCCGUAGUGCAUGCAUUGAAGACCUGGCGACACUUUCUCAUUGGAAAUCAUUGUGAGGUAUACACGGAUCACAAGAGUUUGAAGUAUUUUUUCACGCAGAAGGAGUUGAAUCUCAGACAAAGGCGAUGGUUGGAGCUCAUCAAGGAUUAUGGUAUGAGACUGCAUUAUCAUCUCGGAAAGGCUAACGUAGUAGCUGACGUGUUGAGUCGUAAGAGCCAUGUAAACACACUAAUGACGGGAGAUUUACCAAGGGAGUUAGCCAAAAAUCUUUGUGAGCUAUGUUUGGAGAUAGUCCCGAGAGGCUAUGUAGCAGCAUUGGAGAUUCCGUCGACUUUGGUGGAUAAGAUCAGAGAAGCCCAGAAGACUGACAAGGAGAUCGCUUCUAUUAAGGAGAAAAUGAGCAAGGGAAAAGCUAAAGGAUUUCGUGAGGAUGAGCAUGAUACCUUAUGGUUUGAAGACCGUGUUUAUGUGCCUUAUGACCCGGAGAUUAGGAAGUUAAUUCUGCAGGAGGCCCAUGAUUCACCAUAUUCGGUUCACCCAGGAAAUACCAAGAUGUAUUUGGAUUUGAAGGAUACUUUCUGGUGGGCCAGAAUGAAGAAGGAUAUUGCGGAGUAUGUAGCAGUUUGUGAUGUAUGUCAGAGAGUAAAGGCAGAGCAUCAGAAGCCAGCAGGAUUGUUACAGCCUUUGCCAAUACCCGAAUGGAAGUGGGAUAAGCUAGGCAUGGAUUUUAUUACGGGUUUACCCAGAACUCAUUCAGUCUAUGACUUGAUUUGGGUUGUAGUCGAUCGUUUGACAAAGGUAGCUCAUUUCAUCCCAGUAAAGACUACCUAUACCAGUGCAAAGUUGGCCAAGAUAUACAUGACCAGAAUCAUAUGUCUGCAUGGAGUUCCAAGGAGCAUUGUAUCAGAUAGAGGAACCCAGUUUACCUCAAAGUUCUGGAAUCAGUUGCAUGAAACUUUGGGUACCAGGCUAGAGUUCAGUACAGAUUUCCAUCCGCAGACAGAUGGACAGACCGAGAGAGUCAAUCAGAUUUUGGAGGAUAUGCUGAGAGCUUCUGCGCUAGAUUACGGAUCUAGUUGGGACGAGAAUUUUCCAUAUGCAGAGUUCUCUUAUAACAACAGUUAUCAAUCCAGUUUGAAGAUGGCCCCUUUAGAAGCCUUGUACGGAAGGAGGUGCAGGACCCCAUUGUCGUGGGAUGAAGUUGGAGACCGCCAGUUGUUUGGACCGGAUCUGAUUAAGGAGUCUGAACAGAAAGUGAAAUUGAUUAUCGAUAGGCUCAAGGUAUCCUAAUCCAGGCAGAAGAGCUAUGCGGAUUCUAAACGCAAGGAGACAGUUUACGAAGUCGGAGACCGAGUUUAUCUUCGAGUAUCUCCACUUCGAGGAGUUAAGCGCUUUGGAGUUAAGGGAAAGUUAGCACCAUGUUUUGUAGGACCAUACAAAGUUUUGGAGCGUAUGGGAGAAGUAGCCUACAAGUUGGAGUUGCCCGAAGGAUUGUCAGGAGUUCAGACGUGUUCCACGUUUUCCAGAUGAAGAAGUGCCACGCAGAGAUGGCUGAUAUACCACUGAGAAACACAGUGCCGCUGGAAGCGAUUCAGUUGGUCAGUGAUUUGAGCUAUGAGGAGAAACCAGUCAAGAUACUUGAGUAUGCCAGCCGAGUCACCCGCAGCAAGGUUAUAAAGUUUUGCAAAGUUCAAUGGAGCCACCACACGGAGGAUGAAGCCACCUGGGAGCGAGAGGAAGAAUUUCUAAAGGACCACCCUCACCUACUUUCUAGCCAACCCAAAUCUCGAGGACGAGAUUCAUCUUAAGGGGGGGUAGGUUUGUAACAUCCCAAAUUUUCAAUUUGGAAUGUUAUACACUAGAUCAUCAUUGCAUAUCAUAUUUUUAUUGCAUUUUGGCUGAUCCUAGAAAAUUCUACGCAACUCAAGCACCCUCGGAGAGAGUUGGGGAUUUCGUUAUUUUCAUAUUUGAGUUUUCUCAAAUUUUGAAAAUAGAAUCAUUUGAUUUUAUUUAUUUUAUCUUCAAUUAUUUCUAUUACAAAAAUUUGAGAGAGGGAAUAAAAUGACUUUCCCAAAAUAAAGAAAUAUUGAGGAUUUAGUAAAAAACAAAUAAGAUUUUAUUUUGGUUUAUUUGCUAUUUUAUUUGAAUUUAGGAAAAAUGCGCGUUCUUCAUAAUUGCAUUUAGGCCCCAAAUAAAUGUUCAUCUUGUGCGGCUUGAUUUUAGAAGUCGUGGAAAAUUUAUUUCGGGAUUUUUGGAGUCCGUUUAGUUUUCCUUUUUUUUCUGAGCGUAACUAUUUAUAAAAAACACAACCGACCUAAUGGGCCGUGUCCGACCCGGACACUUGGCCCGGACGGCUUUAUAAGCCGGGGAGGCCCAGCCGGACCCCCCCCCCCAAACCCUANNNNNNNNNNNNNNNNNNNNNNNNNNNNNNNNNNNNNNNNNNNNNNNNNNNNNNNNNNNNNNNNNNNNNNNNNNNNNNNNNNNNNNNNNNNNNNNNNNNNNNNNNNNNNNNNNNNNNNNNNNNNNNNNNNNNNNNNNNNNNNNNNNNNNNNNNNNNNNNNNNNNNNNNNNNNNNNNNNNNNNNNNNNNNNNNNNNNNNNNNNNNNNNNNNNNNNNNNNNNNNNNNNNNNNNNNNNNNNNNNNNNNNNNNNNNNNNNNNNNNNNNNNNNNNNNNNNNNNNNNNNNNNNNNNNNNNNNNNNNNNNNNNNNNNNNNNNNNNNNNNNNNNNNNNNNNNNNNNNNNNNNNNNNNNNNNNNNNNNNNNNNNNNNNNNNNNNNNNNNNNNNNNNNNNNNNNNNNNNNNNNNNNNNNNNNNNNNNNNNNNNNNNNNNNNNGCUGCCCGCGCUGACCCUGCCGGACCGCCGCCCCGCUGCUCGCCGGAGGUAGACCUCGCCGCCACCGGUUUUUCUCGAAAAACCGAUCGGUUUUCCGUCGGUUUUGUUCGGUUUUUUUAGUUUUGUUUUUUUAAUAGAUCGGUUUUCCGGUUUAUUUAUUUAGCAAGCGUUCGCUCAGCCGUUCGUUUUAACAAACCCGUUUAGAUCCAUUUAACAAACGUUCGUUCGUUAAUCUGUUCGUCGUUUUCUUUUUCUCGGAUUAAAUCCGCGAUUUUCUGAUCGCGAUUCCUGAUCCGUUUUUCGUUCUAGUAUAACUUUUCGCUCGUUUAUCGGAAUCAGGCGAUUCAAGCGCCUGGAGUUUCGUCUCGAAACCCUAUUUCCGGUUAACCAACUCAAACAAGUUUUUGCAUCUGUAAAAAGUUGCCCUAGAUCCAGAAUAGUAAACGAAGCCUGUUUCUUUUGUCGUUUGUCUUUCGUUGCUUCGUUCAAUUUGAUUCUUUUUGCCAACCGGAGUUCUUAAGUUGAACUUUCUGGUUAGAUCUCUUAUUUGAGUUUUACCUAUGCAUUAGUUGAGUACUUAUUGUAUGCUUGUUUGUUUGCGAUAGAGUACCCGGAGUGCGCAGCUUGCUACUUCGAAUCGCUAGGUUUCCCGGAUCAUCAGCAAGGCAAGUAACACUUUGAUCAUACCUCCUACUACCCAGUUUUAUUGCAUUAGAUCAAUCCUCACACAUUGCAUGAUUAGAAUCUAAUUAAAUUGUGGGUUUGGGGAGUAGUUGAGGUAGUACCUAUUACCUGUUUAUUAUCAAACCUUUGGAAGUUACUUCUACGUUGCUUAUUAUGCUAUGCUAUGCUAGUAGACGUGGAUCGGGUGAGUGUGUCCAUGACAGAUGUGAGAUUGUUAAAUUAAUGGUUUAUCUAAGGUGGCAACUUAAAUACACAUCUGGGUGGAUUGAGGCACCUGGGUAUUCCAGCGAUUGCCUGUUUUCUUUUGGACCGACACCCUGGCUCAAAGGGAUCAUGAGAUUAUUCAUGCUAGACACUUCUGUGUGCAGCCACAAGCUACUAUGGGCUCUAGCAUAGUUGAUUAAGUCGUGCGAACUCUUACAGUAGUAGACUAGCAGAUAUAGGGGAAAGUAGGUGUAACGGUCUACCCGAUCGUAAGGUGCUAGCGCUUCUGAAAGACUAUGUCUCGGUCAUCCGUUUCUCAAACACCAUGUAGUGCAAGAAAUCAAACGGAGGCGGUCGAGUCUUGUGGCGAAAAGUGCGCAAACCUCUGUAGAGUGUAUAAACUAAUCAUGGUUAGUCGUGUCCCCGGUUAUGGACAACUUGAAUAUCUAGUACCUGGAUUAUCAUGUGAAUCUCAUCAUGUUACUCUAAAAUUAAUUUUGUUGUGUUUUCUUUAAUGAUGAUGCUUAAAUGGGAUUGAGAAUGUUGUCAACCAUUCUCAAUGUUUAACAACUACCAUGAUAGUUAAAUAAAAUUUAUUCCUUUGCAGUAGGGAAAAAUUGGCUUUACGCAAAACUGUAAUCAUAGAGCUUUCCACCAGCCAAAUAUGCAUGUAGUAUAGCCUUAUCCUUUCAUUGCUCUCUAUGUGUUACAUUGCCAGCAUAUUCCAUGUGCUGACCCAUUUCGGGCUGCAACGUUCAUGUUGCAGACCUUUCAGACGACGAUUAUGGUGUUUUUAGGUCGUGGUUCUAUACUCAGUGAUGCCGUUGGAGUUGAUGGACUCACUUAUCUUCCAAGCCUUCCGCUGUUAUCGUUAUUAGAUGGCCUUAAGUCAUAUUUAUUGUAAUAAGCUCUCUUUUGAGACACUCGAUGUAAUAAGUGUGUGAUUGCUACUCUGUUAUAAAUCCUUCAAGUACUGUGUGGUGUCAGCUUUACUGAUCCAGGGAUGACACCGGAGCACAGAGAUUGGACCGUUUGAGGUCUGGUCGCUACAUAGAACGAUUGGUGCAAUUAUUGACAUGAAAGAAGGAACUAUUAGAUUCCAAUUUCCGUUAAGGAAAGGCAUGGAACACUUUCCUAGAAAAAAAUUAAAUUACCUUAUGAAUCUAUUAUGAGAGCCACAUAUGGAUUGCAUACCGAAGAUGACAAUACAUAGAUCUAUUCUUGCUUUUAUGCCUAGCUAGGGGCGUUAAGCGAUAGCGCUUGUUGUGAGGCAACCCAAUUUUAUUUUUGUUCCUUGAUUUUUGUUCCUGUUUAGUAAUAAAUAAAUCAUCUAUCCUCUGUUAUGAUUGUGUUUUUUUAUGUUUUAAUUAGUAUUUGUGCCAAGUAAAUCCUUUAGGAUCUUCUUGGGUGAUUGUUGUUUGAUCUUGCUGAAAAAAACAGAAAGUAUGCGCUCACAAAUUAUUUACCAAAGAGCGAUAAAAUACCAAUUCCAACUGUAGUAGAUUAGUAUACAAAUUAUUUAGGAUGUCCUAAUUUCUCAGGAUUUUUGGAGUUACAGAAGUAUUCGAAACUUCCAGAUUGCUACAGACUGUUCUGUUUUUGACAGAUUCUGUUUUUCGUGUGUUGUUUGCUUAUUUUGAUGAAUCUAUGGCUAGUAUCGGGGGCUAUGAACCAUAGAGAAGUUGGAAUACAGUAGGUUUAACACCAAUAUAAAUAAAGAAUGAGUUCAUUACAAUACCUUAAAGUGGUGGUUUGUUUUCUUAUACUAACGGAGCUCAUGAGAUUUUCUAUCGAGUUUUGUGUUGUGAAGUUUUCAAGUUUUUGGGUAAAGAUUUGAUGGAUUUUGGAAUAAGGAGUGGAAAGAGCCUAAUAUUGGGGAUGCCCAAGGCACCCCAAGGUAAAAUUCAAGGACAACCAAAAGCCUAAGCUUGGGUAUGCCCCGGAAGGCAUCCCCUCUUUUGUGUUCGUCUAUCGGUAACUUUACUUGAGGCUAUAUUUUUAUUCACCACAUGAUAUGUGUUUUGCUUGGAGCGUCUUGUAUGAUUUGAGUCUUUGCUUUUUAGUUUACCAAAAUCAUCCUUGGUGUACACACCCUUUUGGAGAGACACACAUGAAUCAGAAUUUAUUAGAAUACUCUAUGAGCUUCACUUAUAUCUUUUGAGCUAGAUAAUUUUGCUCUAGUGCUUCACUUAUAUCUUUUUAGAGCAAGGUGGUGGUUUUAUUUUAUAGAAAUUAUUGAUAUCUCAUGCUUCACUUAUAUUAUUUUGAGAGUCUUUUAGAACAGCAUGGUAAUUUGCUUUGGUUAUGAAAUUAGUCCUAAUAUGAUAGGCAUCCAAGAUGGGUAUAAUAAAAACUUCCAUAUGGAGUGCAUUGAAUACUAUGAGAAGUUUGAUACUCGAUGAUUGUUUUGAGAUAUGAAGAUGGUAAUAUUAGAGUCAUGCUAGUUGAGUAGUUGUGAAUUUGAGAGAUACUUGUGUUAAAGUUUGUGAUUCCCGUAGCAUGCACGUAUGGUGAACCGUUAUGUGAUGAAGUCGGAGCAUGAUUUAUUUAUUGAUUGUCUUCCUUAUGAGUGGCGGUCGGGGAUGAGCGAUGGUCUUUUCCUACCAAUCUAUCCCCCUAGGAGCAUGCGUGUAGUACUUUGUUUCGAUAACUAAUAGAUUUUUGCAAUAAGUAUGUGAGUUCUUUAUGACUAAUGUUGAGUCCAUGGAUUAUACGCACUCUCACCCUUCCACCAUUGCUAGCCUCUCAAGUACCGCGCAACUUUCGCCGGUACCAUAAACCCAGCAUAUACCUUCCUCAAAAAAGCCACCAUACCUACCUAUUAUGGCAUUUCCAUAGCCAUUCCAAGAUAUAUUGACAUGCAACUUUCCACCGUUCCAUUAUUUAUGACACGCUUCAUCAUUGUCAUAUUGCUUUGCAUGAUCAUGUAGUUGACAUCGUAUUUGUGGCAAAGCCACCGUUCAUAAUUCUUUCAUACAUGUCACUCUUGAUUCAUUGCACAUCCCGGUACACCGCCGGAGGCAUUCACAUAGUCAUAUUUUGUUCUAAGUGUCGAGUUGUAAUUCUUGAGUUGUAAGUAAAUAAAAGUGUGAUGAUCUCCAUUAUUAGAGCAUUGUCCCAUGUGAGGAAAGGAUGAUGGAGACUAUGAUUUCCCCACAAGUCGGGAUGAGAUUCUGGACGAAAAAAAGAGGCCACAAAAAAGAGAGAAAAAAGGCCCAAAUAAAAAAAUGAGAGAAAAAGAGAGAAGGGGCAAUGCUACUAUCCUUUUCCCACACUUGUACUUCAAAGUAGCACCAUGAUCUUCAUGAUAGAGAGUCUCCUAUUUUGUCACUUUCAUAUACUAGUGGGGAUUUUUCAUUAUAGAACUUGGCUUGUAUAUUCCAAUGAUGGGCUUCCUCAAAAUGCCCUAGGUCUUCGUGAGCAAGCGAGUUGGAUGCACACCCACUUAGUUUCUUUUGUUGAGUUUUCAUACACUUAUAGCCCUAGUGCAUCCGUUGCAUGGAAAUCCCUACUCGCUCACAUUGAUAUCUAUUGAUGGGCAUCUCCAUAGCCUGUUGAUAUACCUAGUUGAUGUGAGACUAUCUUCUCCUUUUUGUCUUCUCCACAACCACCAUUCUAUUCCACCUAUAGUGAUAUAUCCAUGGCUCACGCUCAUGUAUUGCGUGAAGAUUGAAAACGUUUUAGAACAUCAAAAGUAUGAAACAAUUGCUUGACUUGUCAUCGGGGUUGUGCAUGAUUUAAAUAUUUUGUGUGAUGAAGAUAGAGCAUAGCCAUACUAUAUGAUUUUUUAGGGAUAACUUUCUUUGGCCAUGUUAUUUUGAGAAGACAUAAUUGCUUGGUUAGUAUGCUUGAAGUAUUAUUAUUUUUAUGUCAAUAUUAAACUUUUGUUUUGAAUCUUUCGGAUCUGAAUAUUCAUGCCACAGUAAAGAAAAUUACAUUGAAAAUUAUGUUAGGUAGCAUUCCACAUCAAAAAAUCUGUUUUUUAUAUUUUACCUACUCGAGGACGAGCAGGAAUUAAGCUUGGGGAUGCUGAUACGUAUCCAAUGUAUCUAUAAUUUUUUAUUAUUCCAUGCUAUUAUAUUAUCUAUUUUGGAUGUUUAAUGGGCUUUAAUAUGCACUUUUAUGUUAUUUUUGGGACUAACCUAUUAACCGAAGGCCCAGUGCCAGUUGCUUUUUUUGCCUAUUUCAGUGUUUCGCAGAAAAGGAAUAUCAAACGGAAUCCAAACGGAAUGAAACCUUCGCGAGAAUUUUUUUGGACCAAAUGCAAUCCAGGAGACUUGGAGUAGAGGUCAAGGAAGCAACGAGGCGGCCACGAGCUAGGGCGGCGCGCGCCCCACCCUCGUGGGCCCCUCGUAGCUCCACCGACCUAAUUCCUUCGCCUAUAUAUACGCUUAUACCCUGAAAACAUCCAGGGAGCCAUGAAACCACUUUUCCACCGCCGCAACCUUCUGUACCCGUGAGAUCCCAUCUGGGGACCUUUUCUGGCGAUCUGCCGGAGGGGGAUUCGAUCACAGAGGGCUUCUACAUCAACACCAUAGCCUCUCCGAUGAUGUGUGAGUAGUUUGCCAUAGACCUUCGGGUCCAUGGUUAUUAGCUAGAUGGCUUCUUCUCUCUCUUUGGAUCUCAAAACAAAGUUCUCCUCGAUGUUCUUGGAGAUCUAUUCGAUGUAAUUCUUUUUGCGGUGUGUUUGCCGAGAGCCGAUGAAUUGUGGGUUUAUGAUUAAGAUUAUCUAUGAACAAUAUUUGAUUCUUCUCUGAAUUCUUAUAUGCAUGAUUUGAUAUCUUUGCAAGUCUCUUCAAAUUAUCAGUUUGGUUGGCCUACUAGAUUGAUCUUUAUUGCAAUGGGAGAAGUGCUUAGCUUUGGGUUCAAUUUUCCGGUGUCCUUUUUGUUGGGGAACGUUGCAGAAAACAAAAAUUUUCCUACGGUUUCACCAAGAUCCAUCUAUGAGUUCAUCUAACAACGAGUGAUCGGAUGCAUCUACAUACCUUUGUAGAUCGCGAGCGGAAGCGUUCAAAGAACGGGGAUGAGGGAGUCGUACUCAACGUGAUCCAAAUCACCGGAGAUCCUAGCGCCGAACGGACGGCACCUCCGCGUUCAACACACGUACGGUCAGCGUAACGUCUCCUCCUUCUUGAUCCAGCAAGGGGGAAGGAGAGGUUGAGGAAGAUGGCUCCAACAGCAGCACGACGGCGUGGUGGUGGUGGAGCUGCAGUACUCCGGUAGGGCUUCGCUAAGCUCUAUGGAGGAGGAGGAUGUGUUGGAGAGGGAGAGGGAGGCACCAAAGGAGUGGUUUGAGAGGCCCUCCUUCCCCACUAUAUAUAGGGAGCCUGGGGGGGGGGCUGGCCCUAGGAGAUGCAAUCUCCUAGGGGGCGGCGGCCAAGGGAGGAAUCCCUCCUCCCCAAGGCACCUAGGAGGUGCCUUCCCCCUUUAGGACUCUUCCUUUCUUGAUCUCCUGGCGCAUGGGCCUCUUGGGGCUGGUGCCCUUGGCCCAUAUAGGCCAAGGCGCACACCCCUACAGCCCAUGUGGCCCCACCCGGUGGACCCCCGGGACCCUUCCGGUGGUCCCGGUACAAUACCGGUGACCCCGAAACUUGUCCCGACGGUCGAAAUAGCACUUCCUAUAUAUAAUUCUUUACCUCCAGACCAUUCCGGAACUCCUCGUGAUGUCCGGGAUCUCAUCCGGGACUCCGAACAACAUUCGGGUUACUGCAUAUACAUAUCCCUACAACCCUAGCGUCACCGAACCUUAAGUGUGUAGACCCUACGGGUUCGGGAGACAUGUAGACAUGACCGAGAUCGCUCUCCGGUCAAGAACCAACAGCGGGAUCUGGAUACCCAUGUUGGCUCCCACAUGCUCCUCGAUGAUCUCAUCGGAUGAACCACGAUGUCGAGGAUUCAAGCAACCCCGUAUACAAUUCCCUUCAUCAAUCGGUAUGUUACUUGCCCGAGAUUCGAUCGUCGGUAUCCCAAUACCUCGUUCAAUCUCGUUACCGGCAAGUCACUUUACUCGUACCGUAAUGCAUGAUCCCGUGACCAGACACUUGGUCACUUUGAGCUCAUAAUGAUGAUGUAUUACUGAGUGGGCCCAGUGAUACCUCUCCGUCAUACGGAGUGACAAAUCCCAGUCUUGAUCCGUGUCAACCCAACAGACACUUUCGGAGAUACCCGUAGUAUACCUUUAUAGUCACCCAGUUACGUUGUGACGUUUGGUACACCCAAAGCACUCCUACGGUAUCCGGGAGUUACACGAUCUCAUGGUCUAAGGAAAGGAUACUUGACAUUGGAAAAACUCUAGCAAACGAACUAUACGAUCUUAUGCUAUGUUUAGGAUUGGGUCUUGUCCAUCACAUCAUUCUCCUAAUGAUGUGAUCUCGUUAUCAAUGACAUCCAAUGUCCAUAGUCAGGAAACCAUGACUAUCUGUUGAUCAACGAGCUAGUCAACUAGAGGCUUACUAGGGACAUGUUGGUGUCUAUUAUUCACACAUGUAUUACGAUUUCCGGAUAACACAAUUAUAGCAUGAAUAAAGACAAUUAUCAUGAACAAGGAAAUAUAAUAAUAAUGCCUUUAUUUUUGCCUCUAGGGCAUAUUUCCAAUAGUCUCCCACUUGCACUAGAGUCAAUAAUCUAGUUACAUUGUGAUGAAUCAAACAGCCAUGGAAUUCUGGUGUUGAUCAUGUUUUGCUCUAGGGAGAGGUUUAGUCAACGGAUCUUCUACAUUCAGGUCCGUAUGUACUUUACAAAUAUCUAUGUCUCCAUCUUGAACAUUUUCACGAAUGGAGUUGAAGCGACGCUUGAUGUGCCUUGUCUUCUUGUGAAACCUGGGCUCCUUGGCAAGAGCAAUAGCUCCAGUGUUGUCACAGAAGAGCUUGAUCGGCCCCGACGCAUUGGGUAUGACUCCUAGGUCGGUGAUGAACUCCUUCACCCAAAUUGCUUCAUGCGCUGCCUCCGAGGCUGCCAUGUACUCCGCUUCACAUGUAGAUCCUGCCACGACGCUCUGCUUGCAACUGCACCAGCUUACUGCCCCACCAUUCAAAAUAUACACGUAUCCGGUUUGUGACUUAGAGUCAUCCAGAUCUGUGUCGAAGCUAGCGUCGACGUAACCUUUUACGACGAGCUCUUCGUCACCUCCAUAAACGAGAAACAUGUCCUUAGUCAUUUUCAGGUACUUCAGGAUAUUCUUGACCGCUGUCCAGUGUUCCUUGCCGGGAUUACUUUGGUACCCACCUACCAAACUUACGGCAAGGUUUACAUCAGGUCUGGUACACAGCAUGGCAUACAUAAUAGAACCUAUGGCUGAGGCAUAGGGGAUGACACUCAUCUCUUCUAUAUCUUCUGCCGUGGUCGGACAUUGAGCUGAGCUCAAUUUCACACCUUGCAACACAGGCAAGAACCCCUUCUUAGACUGAUCCAUAUUGAACUUCUUCAAUAUCUUAUCAAGGUAUGUGCUUUGUGAAAGACCUAUGAGGCGUCUUAAUCUGUCUCUAUAGAUCUUGAUGCCUAAUAUAUAAGCAGCUUCUCCAAGGUCCUUCAUUGAAAAACUCUUAUUCAAGUAGGCCUUAAUGAUGUCCAAGAGUUCUAUAUCAUUUCCCAUCAAAAGUAUGUCAUCUACAUAUAAUAUGAGAAAUGCUACAGAGCUCCCACUCACUUUCUUGUAAACACAGGCUUCUCCAUAAGUCUGCGUAAACCCAAACGCUUUGAUCAUCUCAUCAAAGCGAAUGUUCCAACUCCGAGAUGCUUGCACCAGCCCAUAAAUCAAGCGUUGGAGCUUGCACACCUUGUCAGCAUUCUUAGGAUCGAAAAAACCUUCCGGUUGCAUCAUAUACAAUUCUUCCUUAAGGAAACCAUUAAGGAAUGCCGUUUUGACGUCCAUUUGCCAUAUCUCAUAAUCAUAGAAUGCGGCAAUUGCUAACAUGAUUCAGACGGACUUUAGCUUCGCUACCGGUGAGAAAGUCUCAUCGUAGUCAACCCCUUGAACUUGUCGAUAACCCUUAGCGACAAGCCGAGCUUUAUAGAUGGUCACAUUACCAUCCGCGUCUGUCUUCUUCUUAAAGAUCCAUUUAUUUUCUAUGGCUCGCCGCUCUACAGGCAAGUCAGUCAAAGUCCAUACUUUGUUUUCAUACAUGGAUCCUAUCUCGGAUUUCAUGGCUUCCAGCCAUUUGUCGGAAUCCGGGCCCGCCAUCGCUUCCUCAUAGUUCGAAGGUUCACCGUUGUCUAACAACAUGAUUUCCAAGACAGGGUUGCCGUACCACUCUGGUGCGGAACGUGUCCUUGUGGACCUUCGAAUUUUAGUAGGAGCUUGAUCAGAAGUAUCUUGAUCAUCAUCAUUAACUUCCUCUCUAGUUGGUGCAGGCACCUCAGGAACAUUUUCUUGAGCUGCGCCAUUUUCCGGUUCAAGAGGUAAUACUUCAUCAAGUUCUACUUUCCUCCCACUUACUUCUUUCGAGAGAAACUCUUUCUCUAGAAAGGACCCAUUCUUGGCAACAAAGAUCUUGCCUUCGGAUCUGAGGUAGAAGGUAUACCCAAUAGUUUCUUUGGGGUAUCCUAUGAAGACGCAUUUUUCCGAUUUGGUUUCGAGCUUUUCAGGUUGAAGUUUCUUGACAUAAGCAUCGCAUCUCCAAACUUUUAGAAACGACAGCUUAGGUUUCUUCCCAAACCAUAAUUCAUACAGUGCCGUCUCAACGGAUUUCAACGAAGCCCUAUUUAAAGUGAAUGCGGCAUUCUCUAAAGCAUACCCCCAAAAAGAUAGCGGUAAAUCGGUAAGAGACAUCAUAGAUCGCACCAUAUCUAAUAGAGUGCGAUUACGACGUUCGGACACACCAUUACGCUGAGGUGUUCCAGGCGGCGUGAGCUGUGAAACUAUUCCACAUUUUCUUAAGUGUGUGCCAAACUCAUGACUCAAGUAUUCUCCUCCACGAUCUGAUCGCAGGAACUUGAUUUUCCUGUCACGUUGAUUCUCAACCUCACUCUAAAAUUCUUUGAACUUUUCAAAGGUCUCAGACAUACCCAUAUCUACUCAAGUCAUCAGUGAGGGUGAGAACAUAACGAUAGCCACUGCGAGCCUCAACACUCAUUGGACCGCACACAUCAAUAUGUAUGAUUUCCAAUAAGUUGGUUGCUCGCUCCAUUGUUCCUGAGAACGGAGUCUUGGUCAUUUUACCCAUGAGGCAUGGUUUGCACGUGUUAAAUGAUUCGUAAUCAAGAGACUCUAAAAGUCCAUCAGCAUGGAGCUUCUUCAUGCGUUUGACACCUAUGUGACCAAGGCGGUAGUGCCACAAGUAUGUGGGAUUAUCAUUAUCAAUCUUACAUCUUUUGGUACUCACACUAUGAACAUGUGUAGCAUUACGCUCGAGAUUCAUUAAGAAUAAACCAUUCAGCAUUGGAGCAUGACCAUAAAACAUAUCUCUCAUAUAAAUAGAACAACCAUUAUUCUCGGAUUUAAAUGAGUAGCCAUCUCGUAUUAAACGAGAUCCUGAUACAAUGUUCAUGCUCAAAUCUGGCACUAAAUAACAAUUAUUGAGGUUCAAAACUAAUCCCGUAGGUAAAUGUAGAGGUAGCGUGCCGACGGCGAUCACAUCGACCUUGGAACCAUUCCCGACGCGCAUCGUCACCUCGUCCUUCGCCAGUCUCCGCUUAUUCCGCAGCUCCUGCUUUGAGUUACAAAUGUGAGCAACUGCACCGGUAUCAAAUACCCAGGAGCUACUACGAGUACUGGUAAGGUACACAUCAAUUACAUGUAUAUCACAUAUACCUUUCGUUUUGCCGGCCUUCUUGUCUGCUAAGUAUUUGGGGCAGUUCCGCUUCCAGUGACCACUUCCCUUGCAAUAAAAGCACUCAGUCUUGGGCUUGGGUCCAUUCUUUGGCUUCUUCCCAGUAGCUUGCUUACUGGGCGCGGCAACUCCCUUGCCGUCCUUCUUGAAGUUCUUCUUACCCUUGCCUUUCUUGAACUUAGUGGUUUUAUUCACCAUCAACACUUGAUGUUCCUUUUUGACUUCUACCUCUGCUGAUUUCAGCAUUGCAAAUAAUUCGGGAAUGGUCUUUUCCAUCCCCUGCAUAUUGAAGUUCAUCACAAAGCUCUUGUAGCUUGGUGGAAGCGACUGAAGGAUUCUGUCAAUGACUGCGUCAUCUGGGAGAUUAACUCCCAGCUGAGUCAAGCGGUUAUGUAACCCAGACAUUGUGAGCAUGUGCUCACUGACAGAACUAUUUUCCUCCAUCUUACAACUAAAAAACUUGUCGGAGACUUCAUAUCUCUCGACCCGGGCAUGAGCUUGGAAAACCAUUUUCAGCUCUUCGAACAUCUCAUAUGCUCCGUGUCUCUCAAAACGUUUUUGGAGCCCCGGUUCUAAGCUGUAAAGCAUGCCGCACUGAACGAGGGAGUAAUCAUCAGCACGUGUCUGCCAAGCAUUCAUAACAUCUUGGUUCUGUGGGACGGGUGCGUCACCUAGCGGUGCUUGUAGGACAUAAUCUUUCUUGGCAGCUAUGAGGACGAUCCUCAGGUUCCGGACCCAGUCCGUAUAGUUGCUGCCAUCGUCUUUCAUCUUGGUUUUCUCUAGGAACGCGUUGAAGUUGAGGACUACGUUGGCCAUUUGAUCUACAAGACAUAUUGUAAAGAUUUUAGACUAAGUUCAUGAUAAUUAAGUUCAUCUAAUCAAAUUAUUCAAUGAACUCCCACUUAGAUAGACAUCCCUCCUGUAAUCUAAGUAUAACAUGAUCCGAGUUAACUAGGCCGUGUCCGAUCAUCACGUGAGACGGACUAGUCAACAUCGGUGAACAUCUUCAUGUUGAUCGUAUCUUCUAUACGACUCAUGCUUGACCUUUCGGUCUUCUGUGUUCCGAGGCCAUGUCUGUACAUGCUAGGCUCGUCAAGUCAACCUAAGUGUUUGCACGUGUAAAUCUGUCUUACACCCGUUGUAUGUGAACGUUGGAAUCUAUCACACCCGAUCAUCACGUGGUGCUUCGAAACAACGAACUGUCGCAACGGUGCACAGUUAGGGGGAACACUUUCUUGAAAUUAUUAUGAGGGAUCAUCUUAUUUACUACCGUCGUUCUAAGCAAACAAGAUGCAAAAACAUGAUAAACAUCACAUGCAAUCAAAUAAUAAUAGUGACAUGAUAUGGCCAAUAUCACAUAGCUCCUUUGAUCUCCAUCUUGGGGCUCCAUGAUCAUCUUGUCACCGGCAUGACACCAUGAUCUCCAUCAUCAUGAUCUUCAUCAUCAUGAUCUCCAUCAUCGUGUCUCCAUGAAGUUGCUCGCCAACUGUUACUUCUACUACUAUGGCUAACACGUUUAGCAAUAAAGUAAAGUAAUUUACAUGGCAUUUCUCAAUGACACGCAGGUCAUACAAAAAAUAAAGACAACUCCUAUGGCUCCUGCCGGUUGUCAUACUCAUCGACAUGCAAGUCGUGAUUCCUAUUACAAUAGCAUGAACAUCUCAUACAUCACAUAUAUAUCAUUCAUCAUUCAUCACAACUUUGGCCAUAUCAUAUCACAAAGCACUUGCUGCAAAAACAAGUUAGACGUCCUCUAAUUGUUGUUGCAAGUUUUACGUGGCUGCAAUAGGGUGCUAGCAAGAACGUUUUCUUACCUACGUGAAAACCACAACGUGAUUUGUCAACUUCUAUUUACCCUUCAUAAGGACCCUUUUCAUCGAAUCCGCUCCAACUAAAGUGGGAGAGACAGACACCCGCCAGCCACCUUAUGCAACUUGUGCAUGUUAGUCGGUGGAACCGGUCUCACGUAAGCGUACGUGUAAGGUUGGUCCGGGCCGCUUCAUCCCACAAUACCGCUGAAGCAAGAUAAGUCUAGUAGCGGCAAGAAAGUUGACAACAUCUACGCCCACAACAAAUUGUGUUCUACUCGUGCAAAGAGAACUACGCAUAGACCUAGCUCAUGAUGCCACUGUUGGGGAACAUUGCAGAAAACAAAAAAUUUCCUACGAUUUCACCAAGAUCCAUCUAUGAGUUCAUCUAACAACGAGUGAUCGGAUGCAUCUACAUACCUUUGUAGAUCGCGAGCGGAAGCGUUCAAAGAACGGGGAUGAGGGAGUCAUACUCGACGUGAUCCAAAUCACCGGAGAUCCUAGCGCCGAACGGACGGCACCUCCACGUUCAACACACGUACGGUCAGCGUAACGUCUCCUCCUUCUUGAUCCAGCAAGGGGGAAGGAGAGGUUGAGGAAGAUGGCUCCAACAGCAGCACGACGACGUGGUGGUGGUGGAGCUGCAGUACUCCGGCAGGGCUUCGCCAAGCUCUAUGGAGGAGGAGGAUGUGUUGGAGAGGGAGAGGGAGGCACCAAAGGCGUGGUUUGAGAGGCCCUCCUUCCCCACUAUAUAUAGGGAGCCUAGGGGGGCGCCGGCCCUAAGAGAUGCAAUCUCCUAGGGGGCGGCGGCCAAGGGAGGAAUCCCUCCUCCCCAAGGCACCUAGGAGGUGCCUUCCCCCUUUAGGACUCUUCCUUUCUUGAUCUCCUGGCGCAUGGGCCUCUUGGGGCUGGUGCCCUUGGCCCAUAUAGGCCAAGGCACACACCCCUACAGCCCAUGUGCCCCCCCGGGGCAGGUGGCCCCACCCGGUGGACCCCCGGGACCCUUCCGGUGGUCCCGGUACAAUACCGGUGACCCCGAAACUUGUCCCGACGGCCGAAAUAGCACUUCCUAUAUAUAAUUCUUUACCUCCGGACCAUUCCGGAACUCCUCGUGACGUCCAGGAUCUCAUCCGGGACUCCGAACAACAUUCGGGUUACUGCAUAUACAUAUCCCUACAACCCGAGCGUCACCGAACCUUAAGUGUGUAGACCCUACGGGUUCGGGAGACAUGUAGACAUGACCGAGAUCGCUCUCCGGUCAAUAACCAACAGCGGGAUCUGGAUACCCAUGUUGGCUCCCACAUGCUCCUCGAUGAUCUCAUCGGAUGAACCACGAUGUCGAGGAUUCAAGCAACCCCGUAUACAAUUCCCUUCGUCAAUCGGUAUGUUACUUGCCCGAGAUUCGAUCGUCGGUAUCCCAAUACCUCGUUCAAUCUCGUUACCGGCAAGAAACUUUACUCGUACCGUAAUGCAUGAUCCCGUGACCAGACACUUGGUCACUUUGAGCUCAUAAUGAUGAUGUAUUACUGAGUGGGCCCAGUGAUACCUCUCCGUCAUACGGAGUGACAAAUCCCAGUCUUGAUCCGUGUCAACCCAACAGACACUUUCGGAGAUACCCGUAGUAUACCUUUAUAGUCACCCAGUUACGUUGUGACGUUUGGUACACCCAAAGCACUCCUACGGUAUCUGGGAGUUACACGAUCUCAUGGUCUAAGGAAAGGAUACUUGACAUUGGAAAAACUCUAGCAAACGAACUAUACGAUCUUAUGCUAUGUUUAGGAUUGGGUCUUGUCCAUCACAUCAUUCUCCUAAUGAUGUGAUCUCGUUAUCAAUGACAUCCAAUGUCCAUAGUCAGGAAACCAUGACUAUCUGUUGAUCAACGAGCUAGUCAACUAGAGGCUUACUAGGGACAUGUUGGUGUCUAUUAUUCACACAUGUAUUACGAUUUCCGGAUAACACAAUUAUAGCAUGAAUAAAGACAAUUAUCACGAACAAGGAAAUAUAAUAAUAAUGCCUUUAUUAUUGCCUCUAGGGCAUAUUUCCAACACUUUCCCAGUGACAGUAGGGGCAGCAAGGCACGUAUUAUAUUGUUGCCAUCGAGGAUAAAAAGAUGGGGUUUAUAUCAUAUUGCUUGAGUUCAUCCCUCUAGAUCAUGUCAUCUUGCCUAAUGCGUUACUCUGUUCUUAUGAACUUAAUACUCUAGAUGCAUGUUGGAUAGCGGUCGAUGUGUGGAGUAAUAGUAGUAGAUGCAGAAUUGUUUCGGUCACUUGACACAGACGUGAUGCCUAUGUUCAUGAUCAUGCCUAGAUACUCUCAUAACUAUGCGCUUUUCUAUCAAUUGCUCGGCAGUAAUUUGUUCACCCACCGUGAUAUAUGCUAUCUUGAGAGAAGCCACUAGUGAAACCUAUGGCCCCCGGGUCUACUUUACAUCAUGUAAGUUUCCGAUCUACAAUUCUAGUUUACUAUUUAUUUUGCAAUCUUUAUUUUCCAAUCUAUACAACAAAAAUACCAAAAAUAUUUAUCUUAUUAUCUUUAUCAGAUCUCACUUUUGCAAGUGGUCGUGAAGGGAUUGACAACCCCUUUAUCGCGUUGGUUGCAAGGUUCUUAUUUAUUUGUGCAGGUACUAGGCGACUUGCGUGUAGUCUCCUACUGGAUUGAUACCUUGGUUCUCAAAAACUGAGGGAAAUACUUACGCUACUUUGCUGCAUCACCCUUUCCUCUUCAAGGGAAAACCAACGUAUGCUCAAGAGGUAGCAGUUGCCAAGAUGGCAGCUUCAGGCUUACUGAUGUAUUACUUUGUAAGUUCUUUGUGAAUAAUUAAUAAAAUGAUUGCAUGCAUUGCCCAGAUGCAGAGGCCGGGGGUAUAUCCUUCUAAAAAAACUCAACAAAAGUUAGGUCAAAGAUAUUUGAGAUGUUGUUAGUUGAAGUUUUGGCAUUUGUAUAAGUUAUGUGUUCGAGUUGAAAUCCAUAAACAACAUACUCACCAGCAGAUACGGUUUUGUCAUGCUACGUUGCUUCUGUGCUAGCCAUGUUCUCUCUUAAUCACCAGAUCUUGGUUAAUCUUGUUUUCUGGGCACACCAUGCAGUCUUUAUAGAGAACGACACAUUGACCUUUAGAGAAAACACCAAUGCAAUGAUCUUUACUCGAUAUGUUGGAUUUCAUGUUAUCGCGGUUAGAUGAAUCUAUGGGGAUUAUAGUGUUUUUUCAGGACUAGGAAACACAGCCUCCAUUUGGUACUGUAUUGAAUUUUUUUCAUAAUUCAGAAACACCACCUUUGACUCAGUACCGAUUUUUCAGCCUUUAGGCCAACCUGGAUGGUUGUUUUCAAGACGAAUACCUAUGUAAUAUUUUAGAGCUUAAAAUUUCGACCAAGGGACCAAAACGUGCAUGGAUCGCCGUUUUAGUUUUCUUUUUCACCCAAUUUGUAUUGAAUACACAUGCAAAAUAUUGGACCAUGGUAGACCCCUGUUCUUUGCAUCGAAAAGGGAGCAAAAAAUGCGAUGGAAGUAAAGGGGCACCUUUACUUUUACCAUACAUUUCCCACUACUCCCUCCAUUCCAACGAGCAAUAAAGAUUUGAGUUGGUGGUCGUCCAUAGUCAGGCCAUGCAAAAGCAUGACCCUAGCAAGUGGUCUAUGCUGAUACCCCGCCCCUCCACCCGCCAUGGCAAUGCAAUUCAAAGAUAAUCACUCCUCUAUGUCUCCAUCCACCACCUCUGCAUCGACAUGCAUGCUAUGUCGUCCUCAUGGCAUGCUUUGUCACCACGCUCAUGCUUGACGUCACCAACUUGGAGUGUGGUAGAGGCAUGGUGGGUGUCAUGACCUUCUCGAGUAGCGUCAUUCGGACGUACGUUUUCUUAGCUAAAUCUAGUGGCCAUUGAGGACACAAGAGCUUGUAUGUGGCAAGGGUCAUGGCAACAACUUUUUCGAGGCCACAAGUGGUGAGUAGGGCCGGUCUGGCAUUUUAAAGGUAACAGUGCAAACUUGGUACACUAUAAUAGAGUAAAGGAAGUACUUCCACAAAUAUAUAUUGCACAUCAUGAAAGUUAUUAUAAAGGUAUAAAUACCAGAAAUAUAAUUUUAAUUACCAAAUAAGGUGAGACGAAAAUGAAUCGAAGACUAAAUUGGUUGAAUCACAAUGUGAUAGUUAUCUAAAGAGUAUGUGAUACAUGUACUCCAAUGUAAACAAUUGUUGAAGAAAUGUGGUGAUGCGUUAGCAAAGUCUCUCUUUUUCCGUUGGUAUUGUGUGAUGUAAAUAUAUUUUAGAAUGUAUUAAUGUAUGUAGAUGUAUUGGUCCGUUAUUUGAGAUGAGCCAUAGGCUGUGACACUUGUUUUCAUUCUCCGGGGCCAGCCCUGCACUUGGCAUAUCUUGCGCUACUACCAUGGUCUGUGGCGCAUGAUCCUCAGCAUGCAACUGAGCCACCAUCGGUGAUGACCUUUGCAUGCCCUUUUAAGUUGCUUGCUUGGGCAAGGUGUAGGAUUAUUUAUGACAUGAGUUAUUUAAAAAUGAUUCACAUGUUCUCUGAAUUAUCGACUGAUUCAACAACAUGGCUACGGUCCACCUACUCCUAUAUAUACUUACACUCUCCUUAAUAAUGUGUUUUUUCUAAGCUUUCUUCUAGUAGCCCCUUCACUUGCUCAUAUUCAGGCAUUGUUGUGGAUGCCAUAGAAGCACUGACAAGAAAAUUUAUGGAGUCUUCUGUGAAAACAAUGUAUAUGCAUUGUAACCGACCCAACCAUAUGUGCAACAUCUCGAUAAGUGAGAAGCUUCACUCUUGUGAUAAGAAAUGAGAGAGCUGGGUUGUCAGCAGCUUCGGUCUUGUGAUAAGAAAAUGGAAAAUGCCAAAGACGAGCCAUUCUUGUUGGGUGGAGCACGAACACUAAGCAUUGAUCCAUCUUGUUUUCACAAUGCUUCAUAGAUUUUCUUAUGAACAAACAGGUAAUAUAAAAUUUCCAACAUUAAGAAUGGUAAUUCCUCUAGUAUGUUCACCAGAAUACAUACGACAUAGAACCACCCAAGCAACAUAGCAUGUAGUAGCGGGGCUAUGUGCAGGCUAGAGGUCUUUUGCCCCCCUCCCCCCUCCCCCACCCCCAAGAAAACCAUGUGCAAUGAAAAACUCCUUGAAUAUGAUAUCGGUAGAGAAGACCUACAAAUAAACAUCUUAGUUGUUUGAACAAUGCAAAUGAUAAGCAUGAGUCUUUGGCUUCCGUUGAGAUGUUAUUCAUCUACCAGACUUUAUCAAAAGGCACUGGUAUUAUUGGUGGUGCCAUCUUGGCUGGGAAUCCAUUUUAUGCGGACGCCAUAGGAACCUUCCUCUAUCUCUUGUUUGUUUACUCACAUGACUAUUAGUUUAGGAGGUAAACGUUGAAACAUUGGAUGGUUUUCUCCUUGCAAUGCCUUCAUAUAUUGAACAAUCGAACUUGGAUUGCGUCCAUGUGCAUAAGAACUUAGAGAAGUUUGAUGUGAACAACAUUUUAUUAUGAUCCUUACCAAGACAAAACAUAGAUGAGUACAAGAAAGCAGACAAAGCCAUAUAUAUAAUGACCAUUCUUGAAAUUACUUCACUCAGCCCAGAGGGUCUUUGCCACAAGAAAAGAUGAAUAAAUUGGCACAAAAUAUAGUAGCACAAAAAUGGUCUCGUCUUGAUUCUUGUCUUAUCUGUCAUCAAAAACCACAAUAGGAUACAAACGAGCAAAAAUAAUCAGAGCAAGGUCCGCCAGACUUGUGUCAGACACAUGUGUGAGGUUACACUAUAACUGACAUAAAAAAUUCCAUUCGGAUGGAUAUAGCUGGAGUAACGUGAUUUUACUUUACAGGAUGAAAAUAUCGAAGCCCGUUGAUAAAAUAUUGGCAUGUGUUUCGGCGAACAAGGAGAUGACUCUCGGAUAGAAGUAGCCAUGAAAGAAAACAUGUUGGUAUUGAGGUAUGUAGACAAGGCCAUCGCUAGCGUUUCGGAGAGGCUCUAGUGCUGAGUACAGUGGGCCCAAUGGCAAUAAUAGAAUAUAUUAUGUAUUGCAACAUAAAUAAUUAUUGAAGAAAUGUAAUAUGGUGUCAUGAAGGGGGAGGGGGCCAAAGCCAAGCCUCCUGCAAAACAAAAUUUAGUAUUAUGAUUUAUGUAUGUCAAUAUAUAGGGAGCUUAUUUGAGGUGGGUAUUGCUCAGUUGCACCUUUUGUCAUGGGGAUGGCAUCAGUGGCUAGAGAAAAAAUGGAGAUAGCUUGGUCUAGCUUGAGGUGUUGCAGCAGGGAAGCUUCGAGUAGCUCGGUUGUUUACCUCUCAAUGAAGGACAUGAGUUCUUGGAUUAGGUUGACCGGAUCUGUUCAUAUCUUUGUUAGUAAUGCAAAAAAGAGGAUAAUGAUGUGGGGGUCAUGGAUUCUGUAUAAGAUAUGUCUUUUUAAUACAAUGUCGUUGUUCUUAGGGACGAGGAUUUGUGGCUCUCAGGUGCCACACACACCCCUAUAUGAACACAACACUAAAAAAAUACCACAAAAUUGUAUUAAGCGAGUAAUUGUCAGUCUGUGCUCGGUGGGGUCUUGUAACACUCUAAAACUCUAUUCUCCUCAUUUAAUAGAUGAAGCAAAUCUUUUGCCUCCGUUUUGAAAAAAAACUGGGUGCCCAGUGUACACCCAUGUUUAGUUUUGUGGGGAAUGGGUGCCGUGUUCAUAUUGAUAAAAGAGUCAAAAAAAUCCUAUGUAUAAAAAAACUAUUUGGAUGGAUCAUAUGUCGGACCAUAUUUCCUUUUCCACAGAUAUCAUAGGCACCCAUUCCUCACGAAACUAAACACCAGUGUACAAUGGGCACCUAGGUUUGAUAUCCCCAAAUUUCAGAUUAAAAAAAUUAUUGGUAAUUUUUCUAAUGUUUAUUCAUAUAGGGGUGUGUGGCACCUCGGAGCUCUAAUGCAUUUCCCUGUUCUUUAGUUGAUAAUGUAUGCUGCACAUAGUAAAGAAUAUGCUAGACCAAGUUAUAAGUAUUUGUUUUUUGAGAAACACAUUUAAGAUGCAGAUUGUGCUGAUGAAUCAAGACUCACAAAUAACUAUGGUUGUUCAUGUGCAAAUUAGAACUACACAUGUUGAUUUUUAAUGAAUCACGAGGAGCUGGAUCGCCGAUCAAUCGACAGUCCGAGAACUAUGUUGGUAUAGCUAUAAAGAUUUAAAAAAACGAAACAUGAAGUGUGAGAUUUAGAGCAUCUCUAGCAGAUCUUGUAAAAUAGGCUGUCCGCUAUAAUAACCGCCGAUAUAGCGGAUGGGGACGUAUUUUUCGCCCGGAACAAAUCUAUAAAAUUGGUCGUCCGCUAAAUUAUUUUGUGAGAUCCUGCAAAGUCCGGGCUGAUUUCAUCAUAUCUACGGGUUCCCUCCCUCUUUUUGUCGGUUCCCUUAUCUCUCCCGCGUCUUGGCACCAAGGAAAUUUCACCUCACGCGCCCUUCCCUGCCGCCGCAUCUCCCUGUCGUCUCUUGCUGACCCCAGCCAUCCCGCGCCGUACAGUAGCUCUGUCACCCCCGCCGCACCUAUUCCACCAAUUUUGGAGGCCGAGGGUGCCCAUUUUUCUCCGCAGACGAGCGGCCGCCACCAGCACCAUGGUUCCGCCCCGGAGGUUGCUGCGCGGCCUUGUAGUGGGCGCAUCCGGUUGGUUCCCAUGCCGGUGAACCCCGGAAUCGCCUGAGGGAUAGCUGCGCGCGCCGGCGCCGCGGAUUUGGAUCGUGGUGAAGAAGGGGUUUGGCCGAUUUGCUUCGGCCGACACCGGAGAAGAAAGCGGCGGCUCACUUGAUUCCGGGAGGCGGAAUUGCAUUCGGGGAAGGUAAGUUCAAUGCCCGGUGAUUUGUUGAUUCAAUUUCGGCCUGCGAGAUUUAGGAAAAUUCAUCACGUGCAUUUCUUUUGUUAGAUGGAUUGGAGUUCGUCGUCGUCGUCGUCGUCAGAUGAUUCCGUGAUAGAGAGAAGAUUUUGGACAACGAUGUCGACAACCUAGUGUUGUUGUAGCUCGUGAACAAAUUUGAAAGGGGUCCGAAGAGAAAGCGUCAUGGAUCCAAGGUUGACCAGCUAUGCAUUCUGCCCAACCGAUCUCUCAGUGACAAGAUGCUUAUGAAGGACUACUUCGCCAAGGUACCGACAUAUCCGGCUCACCUAUUCUGUAGGCGGUAUCGAACGUGUAGGCCUCUUUUCGUUUGCAUCAUUGAAGGUUGCGAGCAAAAUUGUCGUCUUUUCACUCGUCGAAGGAAUGCUGCCGGUUUGCUUGGCUUUAAUACAUAUCAAAAAAUAUCGGCGGCGAUGAGAGUGAUUGCAUAUGGCGUUCCCGCCGACUAUGCCGAUGAAUAUCUUCGCAUUGGAGAAGAUGCCACUAUCAAAUGCGUGCAGGUGUUUGUGAAGACAAUGGUUCGGGUUUUUGGCCCAGAGUAUCUUCAAGCUCCAAAUGAGGAGGACACAAAGAAGUUGAUGGCGAUGAACGAAGAAUGUGGAUGGUCGGGCAUGCUUGGGAGUAUUGAUUGCAUGCAUUGGAGGUGGAAGAACUGCCCGAUGGCUUGGGCAGGGCAAUACAUUGGACACAAACGUAAACCUACCAAUGUGCUUGAAGCUGUGGCUUCACGCGAUUUAUGGAUUUGGCAUGCUUCUUUGGUUUGCCAGGGUCUCUCAAUGAUAUCAAUGUCCAUCGUUCUCAUCUUUAUGCUCAGCUAGAGUGGAAAAGCUCCGGCUUGCAACUAUACCAUCAAUGACCAUGAUUAUACCAUGGGGUACUAUCUUGCCGACGGUAUUUAUCCUCCAUGGUGAACAUUUGUGAAGACCUCUCCAUGGUGAACAUUUAUGAAGACCAUCAGUGACCCCAAAACCAAGAAGCACGAAAUUUUUGCCGAAGCACAAGAAACAUGCCGAAAAGAUAUUGAGAGGGCAUUUGUUGUGUUGCAAGCUUGGUUUUCCAUUGUUUGAGGUCUCGCUCGAUUCUAGGAUAAGAAAUCCCUCAAAAACAUCAUGGCCGCAUGUGUAAUUUUACACAAUAUGAUCAUCGAGGAUGAGAGAAAUUUGAACUUAAGAGUUUUAUUAUGAUAAUGUGGGUAGCCAUGUGAAGCCUGGCAGGGACGCAGGUGAGAUCACUGCAUUUCUUGAGACAUGCCGGAAGAUUGAGAAUAGUGCUUCACACUACCAGCUCCGCGAUGAUCUUGUUGAGCAUAGUGGCAACUCUAUGGGAGAUUAGACUCCCAUUUUAAUUUUAAUUUUAUAAAUUUCAUAUGUAUUUGUGUGUGAUUGAACAAUUUAUUGUUGUACUAAUUAUUAGAAUUUGAACGGUUGUUGUAAUGAAGAUUGUUGUACUGUGAAUUGCCUUUCGGAUCAUUUAUAUUCAUACGUUUAAUUUAUAUUAUAAUUCUGUUCGGUUGAUAUUGUUAAAAAUCAAAAAGUUGUGAGGCUCAAGAAAAUUUACGGUACCGCGAGGCCUUCGGCUCGGAACAGACCAUGUAAACUCAUCCCACAAAUAUUUUGCCAGGACCUGCUAGAGAUGCUCUUAGGGGCUCGCGGAAGUUGGUCUUUUGAGGCAUCUAUCUAUAGACCUUUUGUGCAAAACUCAUAGGAUAUGACUUGCGUACAAGCAAUAGUCUUUGGUUAUGAGUUGAAACCCCGUGUCCAGUAUCCCAAACAGAUUCUAGAGAUACGACUCCGAGUAGUAUUGUGUCCGAGGGUUUCUUUCACAAGCGAGGCGUCAAAACAAGGUUAACAAACAGCACCAAAUAAUAAAACGAAUAAAACACAAGGCAUAUCAUUUGAGUGAACCAGAAUACCAUCGACAUUAAACUACCACGGAGACGAAACAAAUACAAAGAACUCUUUGGUUACACAAGUACCUAUCUCUUGCUGGCCAAGAGAAGAUAACACACAACCUAGCAGCAAGUACUAAAUAAAAGCUACAACAGCCGGCUCAAGACAGUUUAUUAG